rnacentral:rRNA from 1 species
UACAGAGGGUGCAAGCGUUAAUCGGAAUUACUGGGCGUAAAGCGUGCGUAGGCGGGUAUGUAAGUCGGGGGUGAAAGCCCCGGGCUCAACCUGGGAAUUGCAUUCGAGACUGUGUAGCUAGGGUACGGAAGAGGGAUGCAGAAUUCCAGGUGUAGCGGUGAAAUGCGUAGAUAUCUGGAGGAAUACCAGUGGCGAAGGCGGCAUCCUGGAGCGGCAUUGACGCUGAAGCGCGAAAGCUAGGGGAGCAAACGGG